rnacentral:lncRNA from 1 species
UCUUCUUUAAAACAUUAGUACUUAUAAUCAACUUAAUUGUAAAGAGGUGUGAAAAAUUUGAGUUAAAAUCAAUGGACCAUUGAUUAUAGAGGUUUUAAUUUGUUAUAGAAAUUACUUGAAUUAUUUAGAGUUUGGUUAGGAUAUGUUUAGGAUUUGAUUAAGAUUUGAUUAAAGUUUAUUUAAGUUUGUUUAGAAUUUGGUUAAAAUUUUUUAAGAUUUAUUUAUGAUUGAUUAGGAUUUGGUUAGGAUUUGGUUAAGAUUUGAUUAGGUAUUAGUUAAGAUUUUAUUAAGAUUUGGUUAGGAUUUAGUUAAGAUUUGUUUAGGAUUUGAUUAAGAUUUAUUUAGGAUUGAUUAGGAUUUGAUUAGAAUUUGAUUAGAAUUUGAUUAAGAAUUGGUUAGGAUUUGGUUAGGAUUUGAUUAGGAUUUGAUUAGGAUUUGAUUAGAAUUUGACUAAGAUUUGAUUAGGAUUUGAUUAGGAUUUGAUUAGGUUUUAUUUAGGAUUUGAUUAGGAUUUAGUCAAGAUUUGUUUAGUAUUUGACUAAAAUUUUAUUAAGAUUUGUUUAAGAUUUGAUUAAGAUUUGAUUAAGAUUUGUUAAGAUUUGACUAAAGUUUAUUUAAGAUUUGAUUAGGAUUUGACUAAGAUUUA